rnacentral:rRNA from 1 species
ACAGAGGGAUAGCCCAGAGAAAUUUGGAUUAAUACUUCAUAGUAUAUAUCAUUCGCAUGUUUGGUAUAUUAAAGUUCCAACGGUAAAAGAUGAGCAUGCGUCCCAUUAGUUAGUUGGUAAGGUAACGGCUUACCAAGACGAUGAUGGGUAGGGGUCCUGAGAGGGAGAUCCCCCACACUGGUACUGAGACACGGACCAGACUCCUACGGGAGGCAGCAGUGAGGAAUAUUGGUCAAUGGACGCAAGUCUGAACCAGCCAUGCCGCGUGCAGGAAGACGGUCCUAUGGAUUGUAAACUGCUUUUGUACGGGAAGAAACACUCCUACGUGUAGGAGCCUGACGGUACCGUAAGAAUAAGGAUCGGCUAACUCCGUGCCAGCAGCCGCGGUAAUACGGAGGAUCCAAGCGUUAUCCGGAAUCAUUGGGUUUAAAGGGUCCGUAGGCGGUUUAAUAAGUCAGUGGUGAAAUCUGGUCGCUCAACGAUCAAACUGCCAUUGAUACUGUUAGACUUGAAUUACUGUGAAGUAACUAGAAUAUGUAGUGUAGCGGUGAAAUGCUUAGAUAUUACAUGGAAUACCAAUUGCGAAGGCAGGUUACUAACAGUUGAUUGACGCUGAUGGACGAAAGCGUGGGGAGCGAACAGGAUUAGAUACCCUGGUAGUCCACGCCGUAAACGAUGGAUACUAGUUGUUUGGAGCAAUCUGAGUGACUAAGCGAAAGUGAUAAGUUCCCACCUGG